GAAUACCCGCUGAACUUAAGCAUAUCAAUAAGCCGGAGGAA
rnacentral:rRNA from 1 species